rnacentral:rRNA from 1 species
GAGACGGUAAGGAUUGACGGACUGAAGGCUCUUUCUCGAUUCCGUGGAAAAGUGGUGCAUGGCCGUUUUUUGGUUGGUGGAUCGAUCCGUCUGGUUAAUUCCGUUAACGAACGAGACCUCGGCACUCCGAAUAGCGCGGCGGACGUCGCGGCCUCCGGGCCGUCUUCCGCACGAGCUUCUUAGAGGGACCGUCCCCCGCCGGGGAAGGAGGUGCGAGGCAACGACAGGUCUGUGAUGCCCUUAGAUGUUCUGGGCCGCACGCGCAUUACACUGACGCGUCCAACGGGUGACUCCCGACCCGAAGGGGCCGGGGAAUCCGCAAGGCGCGUCGUGAUGGGGAUUGAACGUUGCAAUUGUUGUUCACGAACGAGGAAUUCCUAGUAGGCGCGGGUCAUCAACCCGCGCCGAUUACGUCCCUG